rnacentral:rRNA from 1 species
CCUACGGGGGGCAGCAGUGGGGAAUUUUGGACAAUGGGGGCAACCCUGAUCCAGCCAUCCCGCGUGUGCGAUGAAGGCCUUCGGGUUGUAAAGCACUUUUGGCAGGGAAGAAAAGGCGCCGGAUAAUACCUGGCGCUGAUGACGGUACCUGCAGAAUAAGCACCGGCUAACUACGUGCCAGCAGCCGCGGUAAUACGUAGGGUGCAAGCGUUAAUCGGAAUUACUGGGCGUAAAGCGUGCGCAGGCGGUUCGGAAAGAAAGAUGUGAAAUCCCAGAGCUUAACUUUGGAACUGCAUUUUUAACUCCCGAGCUAGAGUAUGUCAGAGGGGGGUAGAAUUCCACGUGUAGCAGUGAAAUGCGUAGAGAUGUGGAGGAAUACCGAUGGCGAAGGCAGCCCCCUGGGAUAAUACUGACGCUCAUGCACGAAAGCGUGGGGAGCAAACAGGAUUAGAUACCCCAGUAGUC